rnacentral:precursor_RNA from 14 species
GGCCAGGAACUACUGCUGACAGUAUGCGACUGUAAACAUCCUCGACUGGAAGCUGUGAAGCAGUUGAAGGGCUUUCAGUCAGAUGUUUGCAGCUGCCAACUGCCUUCGUCUUCAAGAGCUUCU